CCGGGGUGGAGUAACGCGUGGGUAACCUAGCCUCAUACAGGGGGAUAACAGUUGGAAACGACUGCUAAUACCGCAUAAGCGCACAGUGCUGCAUGGCACAGUGUGAAAAACUCCGGUGGUAUGAGAUGGACCCGCGUCUGAUUAGCUAGUUGGUGGGGUAACGGCCUACCAAGGCGACGAUCAGUAGCCGACCUGAGAGGGUGACCGGCCACAUUGGGACUGAGACACGGCCCAA
rnacentral:rRNA from 1 species